rnacentral:rRNA from 1 species
UACAGAGGUCUCAAGCGUUGUUCGGAUUCAUUGGGCGUAAAGGGUGCGUAGGCGGCGCGGUAAGUCGGGUGUGAAAUCUCGGAGCUUAACUCCGAAACUGCAUUCGAUACUGCCGUGCUUGAGGACUGGAGAGGAGACUGGAAUUUACGGUGUAGCGGUGAAAUGCGUAGAUAUCGGGAGGAAUACCAGUGGCGAAGGCGGCCUUCUGGACGGAUACUGACGCUGAGGCGCGAAAGCCAGGGGAGCAAACGGG